GACGAACGCUGGCGGCGUGCUUAACACAUGCAAGUCGAACGGAAAGGCCCUGCUUUUGUUGGGUGCUCGAGUGGCGAACGGGUGUGUAACACGUGAGUAACCUCCCCUUUACUUUGGGAUAACUUCAUGAAACUGGGGCGAAUACCCGAUAGGAGCUCCUGCUGCAUGGUUGGGGUUGGAAAGUUUCGGUGUUUGUGGAUGGACUCGAGGCUUAUCAGCUUGUUGGUGGGGUAGUGGCUUACCAAGGCGUUGACGGGUAGCCGGCCUGAGAGGGUGACCGGGCCCAGUGGGACUGAGGUACGGACCAGACUGAUACGGGGGGCAGCAGUGGGGACUAGUGCACAAUGGGCGGAAGCCUGUUGCAGCAAUGUCGCGUGCGGGAUGACGGCCUUCGGGUUGUAACCCGCUUUAGCCUGUAACGAAGCGUGAGUGACGGUAAUGGGUAAAGAAGCACCGGCUAACUACGUG
rnacentral:rRNA from 1 species